GACAGAGGGUGCAAACGUUGUUCGGAUUUACUGGGCGUAAAGGGCGCGUAGGCGGUCAGCACAAGUCAGUUGUGAAAUCUCCGAGCUUAACUCGGAAAGGUCAACUGAUACUGUGCGACUAGAGUGCGGAAGGGGCAACUGGAAUUCUUGGUGUAGCGGUGAAAUGCGUAGAUAUCAAGAGGAACACCUGCGGCGAAGGCGGGUUGCUGGGCCGACACUGACGCUGAGGCGCGAAAGCGUGGGGAGCAAACAGG
rnacentral:rRNA from 1 species